CCCUACGGGGCGCAGCAGUGAGGAACAUUGGUCAAUGGACGAGAGUCUGAACCAGCCGAGUAGCGUGAAGGAUGACUGCCCUAUGGGUUGUAAACUUCUUUUAUAUGGGAAUAAAGUGAUCCACGUGUGGCUUUUUGUAUGUACCAUAUGAAUAAGGAUCGGCUAACUCCGUGCCAGCAGCCGCGGUAAUACGGAGGAUCCGAGCGUUAUCCGGAUUUAUUGGGUUUAAAGGGAGCGUAGGCGGAUUAUUAAGUCAGUUGUGAAAGUUUGCGGCUCAACCGUAAAAUUGCAGUUGAUACUGGUAG
rnacentral:rRNA from 1 species